UCCCUUUGUUCCAAAGUGGUUUUACAAAAUAUAGUGCCUUAAAACUCCCUUAAACGGUUGGUUUGGGUGGAUAAAGAAGAAACUUUGGGAGUAACCAAAACUCAGCAGAGAGAGCCAAUCCUUCUGUGGAACAUUUGUGGAACAUCAAUAAUGGUGGGAUGAACCAAAAGCACAGGUGCAGCUGCAGGUGGAGGAGAUUCAAACAUAUAUAAGUCUGAUGGGUCACACACAGAAGACAGUGAAGACUGAGGAACAUUUGAAGACUCUCAUUCAUCGGUAUCUCCAACAAUAGAAUGGUAAGACUCAUUUUAAUAUGGUUCUUGUCUCUGUAUGAUUGCAGGGUUGAUAUAAAAGAUACAUUUACUUAAUUUAUCAUAAUAAUCAAUAUACAGGUGUUUUUGCAUAUCUAGAACUAAAAUGAUAAGCUAUUUUAUGUCAUCAUUCAACUUGCUAUACAGUCAUAUUAAGGUGAAUAUUUUUUUUUUUUUUUGCAAAUUGCAUACUGACUUAAAUAUAAAUGUACUUCAGCAAGUGUGAGAAGCAUAACAAAAUGAUCCUAUUUAUCUGUGAUUUCACUCUCCUAUGUAUUUAAUCUACAGAUUUCAGAGCAGAGAGAGAUGAAGAGUGUUCUCUCAGUGAAGAUGUUGGCUGUGUUGCCUCUGGUUCUGUUGGUGUCCAGUGUGACUGAGGGACGGAUUAUGAGUAAAUGUGAGCUGAAGGCCAAGCUGGAGGCUGCACGAUUUCAAGACUUUAAGGUCAUGGGAGAAAAAUUGAGCACAAAAGAUCUUGUAGCUAGACUUGUCUGCAAGGCUAAAGCCUCUGGCUUCAACACCAACUUCAUGAAAACCAUCAGCAACUACUAUGAAGAGAACAAUCCCGAUGACGCCCCACCUCAGUCAUCCACCUCCACCUUAAGGCCUACUUCAAGGGCCACCAGCUCCACCUCAAGUACCACCUCAAAGUCUACAUCAAGUCCCACAAUAAGACCCACCACAUUUUCCACUUCAAAACCCACCACAGGCUCCACCACAAGACCAACCACAGGCUCCACCACAGGCUCCACCACAAGACCAACCACAGGCUCCACCACAAGACCAACCACAGGCUCUACCACAGGCUCCACCACAAGCCCAACCACAGGCUCCACCACAAGACCAACCACAGGCUCCACCACAAGACCAACCACAGGCUCCACCACAAGACCAACCUCAGGCUCCACCACAAGCUCCACUUCAACCCCUACCACAGGCUCCACCUCAAGCUCCACCACAAGCUCCACUUCAACACCCACCACAGGCUCCACCUCAAGCUCUACUUCAAGCUCCACUUCAACCCCUACCACAGACUCCACCACAGGCUUCACCUCUAGCUCCACCACAAGCUCCACUUCAUCCCCCACCACAGACUUCACCUCAAGCUCCACCACAAGCUCCACUUCAACCCCCACCACAGACUUCACCUCAAGCUCCACCACAAGCUCCACUUUAACCCCUACCACAGGCUCCACCUCAAGCUCCACUUCAACCCCCACAACAGACUCCACCACAGGCUCCACCUCAAGCUCUAUGACAAGCUCCACUUCAACCCCCACCACAGACUCCACCACAGGCUCCACCUCAAGCUCUACCACAAGUCCAACCACAAGACCCACCAAAGUCUCCACCUCAAGCUCUACCACAAGUCCAGCCAAAAGACCUGUCACAGGGCACCCUACAGUCUCUCCUUCAAGACCUACCCCAAGAAAUGCCUCGAACAGAGGCCGGCGUCACAUUCCUUUUUUUAACAAACCCAACGGUCCUAUCUUUAGGGAGAAGGAGCCAAAGUGGCCCUUAGUCGAACGCCUGUAUGGACUGUUUCAGCUCAGUGAUCAGUGGGCCUGUAAUUCUGACAAGGUGCCAUCUCUCAAUAUUUGCAACAUGAAAUGCACUGCUUUAAAUGGUGAUGAUGCCACAAAUGACAUUGCUUGCCUGAAGACCCUGAUGAACAGCAUGCCACCUAAACCUCUUGUGAACCCCUCUGAUUUGAAGAAGAUCUUGGGGACCUUGUUGGUGGAUGAGUGCCGCUCUGUUGUUCACUCAGAGUACUUUGCUGAGUGUUUUUAGAGGAAUACCCCUAUGAUUGAAUGGUAAUGGGGUCAUUGGUUGUGGAACCCGUGUGGCUCUUAACUAAGGGUGUUUGUCCAUUAAGGCACUUUAUGUUAUUGCUUUGUUAUUGCUGUGAUAUUGUAAAAUUGUUAUUUAUGUACACAUUUACAUUUUUGUCUAAACUUAAAAUUUAACAUUUGGUUCCUUGUGUCAGACUGUGCUUUUCAUUAAAAUAAUAUAAAAAAAUACAGAAGUGCUCAAAAUGCACUUUCUUUCUGCAUAUUUUUUUUUCUUCAGGAUAAUAUAUUACCAUUUGUACCCAGAAAAAAUAUAUAUAUAUUUUAAGGUCAGGAAACAGCCUAGUUUGAAGAUCAUUUAGGAAUUUUAAAUGAUUCAUUUCAAAUCCGACUUGUGC
ensembl:lncRNA